rnacentral:rRNA from 1 species
CCUACGGGAGGCUGCAGUGGGGGAUAUUGCACAAUGGGGGGAACCCUGAUGCAGCGACGCCGCGUGGGUGAAGAAGCGCCUCGGCGCGUAAAGCCCUGUCAGCAGGGAAGAAAAUGACGGUACCUGAAGAAGAAGCCCCGGCUAACUACGUGCCAGCAGCCGCGGUAAAACGUAGGGGGCAAGCGUUAUCCGGAUUUACUGGGGGUAAAGGGGGCGCAGACGGCGAUGCAAGCCAGGAGGGAAAGCCCGGGGCCCAACCCCGGGACUGCUCUUGGAACUGCGUGGCUGGAGUGGAGGAGGGGCAGGCGGAAUGCCUGGUGUAGCGGUGAAAUGCGUAGAUAUCGGGAAGAACACCGGUGGCGAAGGCAGCCUGCUGGACUGAAACUGACGUUGAGGCCCGAAAGCGUGGGGAGCAAACAGGAUUAGAUACCCUUGUAGUC